AAACAUUGGUUGUGGUACAGUGAUGGAAUUGCUUCAUCACGAAUCAAAGGUUUGGGCUUCGAGUUCUGAUCAUGAAGAAAAUCUUGUUGGAAGCAUCAUUACCAGAAUGGACAUUUAAUCCUGCAGACUGCAACGCAUGAUUCAAAUUAGUAAGGAUUUCAGUACAGAUACUAAACACUAGACGAAAAAUAAAAAUAAAUAAAUCAUAGUAUGUGUGUGUUAUUAAUGGUUCUGUUUUUAUUUUAUCUGGCUCCAUUUGUAUAGGUGUGUUUGCUAGUGACAUAUAUACUGAGAAGCUCUAUUAUUUCUGGCAAGUUCUUAUGGGCCAGGCCGUACUCAUGGUCCAAUCUGAAAAUUUGAAAUGGUCCAAAUACACUUGGAUCUUCGACUCCGUUUAACCAUAGAUUUUGAUUUUAUUAUUUUUUUGUGAAAAAUUUGUUGAUAAAUACUUGAGAAAAAUUACACAUUAUAGAUAAAAUAAUUUCUUAAUUAUAUGGUAUGGUUAAAAUUUUUAAAAAAUAUCCAACAUAAUUAUUUGUUAGUUAUAAUUUUUUUUUUGUGAACCUCCAGAUACAAAUAUAAUAUGCAAUGUAUAUAACAAAAUAUACUCUCUCUCUCUCAUGUAAUUAAUUUUUUAUAAUUCCUCUCUUAGCUAAUUGGCUAGUUUUGCGGCAUUAACUUAUGCACGCUUCUUGAAAAGUAUCUCAAAGAAAAUUUUGCUCUCAAAUCAUUCGAUUUUUUGUCUUUCCCUCAACAUCCAUUGUGGAUUUGCAUUGAAAUUUUUUGGAGUAAUUUCUCAGCCAUAAAUAUCCGUGGAGAUAUGCAUUGAAGAUUUUGCAAUAAUCUUUAAUUUUUUCAGGUAUAUAAAUUUGUUUUCUUUUGAUUUUUUUAGGUAUUUUCUAAAUGAGCCGUUAAGUUUCUUCAAAUUUAAUCUACUUUUGUAGAAUAGAAUUUAUAAAUUGAAAAUCAAAUUAUAUAUUAGUGUCAGUUUCAUUGAAUAAAUCUUGAUGAAUUAUUUUCAUAGUUGGAUAUUUGAUCCUAUUUUAGUGAAUUUGAUAAUUGUAUAUAGGUAGUUUAAUUUUUUGAUCCUAUUUUAGUGAAUUUGAUAAUUGUAUAUAGGUAGUUUAAUUUUAUUUAGUUACAUAAAUCUUUGUAUGUGGGUAUGCAUCGUAUAUUUGUUUUCAUUUGUAUAUUUUUAUAUGUAUAUGAAUAUAUAUUGGAUGUAUGCUCUUGAUGUAUAUAUGUAGAUUUUUGUAUAACAAAUAUGCAUACAAGUUUGUUCUGUGUUGGUAUAGAUAUACAUAUGUAUGUGUUGGUUCAUGUAUACAUUAUGCAUAUAUGUAUAUAUUUGUUCUAUAUCUAUGCAUAUAUACAUAUGCAUAUCUGUAUAUAUGCAUAUACAUAUGCAUGUAAGUAUAAUUAUUUCUAUAUACACAUGUUGAUUUUUAUACAUUGUGUAUCACAUAUUAAAAUGAGUAUCAGCGCGUUAGGAUUCUAAUAUAUAAAUCUUCAAUUAUUUAAUUGUAUAUGUAUAAUAUUAUACUUUUAUACAAUAUAGUGUUGAUACACAUAUCAAUAUAUGUUUAUUCAAUGCACAGUUGAUAUGCAUAUGUAUAUGUUAUACAAAUGUGUUUGUCUCAUAUGUAUAUGCUUAUUUGUUUCCUUGUAUCUUUAUAAUAUUACACGUUUAUAUAAUAGAUAUUGUUGAUAUGCAUAUAUAUAUAUAUAUAUUAUACAUAAUUAAUAAAAUUUUAAUGUGUUUCUAUAUAUAAUUUUUUUUUUGUGUAUAUAUGUGUGUUAAAAUUCAAUUAUACAAAGUACGUUUAUACUAAAAAAAAGGUCAAUUAUGGAAGGAGAAUCACCAGCAAUUUUUGUUAUAUAGAAGGAGAAUAUUCGAGAAAGUUGGAUAUAAUAAUGAUCAUUAAUUACUCUCUCGUUUCUUUAAAAUUAAUAUUAAUUAUAUUAUAUAAAUGAGUCCUAAAUACUUGAGUCGGGGUCUAUCGGAAACAGUCUUUCUACUUCUUCUGAAGUAGUGGUAUGAACUGCGUACAUCUUAUCCCCCAGAUUCCACUAUGUGGGAAUAGACCGGAUUUUUUGUUGUUGUUGUUGAGUCCUAAAUACAUUUGGUCACUAACUAAUAUUUAUAAAAUGUCCUAAAUACAUUUGGUUACUAAUUAAUGUUUAUAGAAUGUAAUUAGUAAAAUUUAGAUCAUAAAGUUAGUUAAGAGAAAUCUAAGGUGUCUAUAUGUGAAGUUUUUCAAAUAUUUAUUUGAUCAUAAAACUUAUCUAGUUGUUAGGUGGUUGUGAAAACUAAAUCUUCAAAUUCUAAAAGUCUCUUUUGAUCUGCUUUUAGUCCAAGAUAUACCGUUGGUUUUUCUAAAGAAUCAAAUAACUUGUCCAAAUUUUUAGAUUUUAUAAAAAGAAAGCUCCAUCUAUUAAAGACCCAAACAAUUUUUUAUCUCACCGCUAAGAGAUUGCUCUUACAAUGUAGGAAAAUUAUAUUAAAGGAUAGCUAGUUACUAUAAUGUUAUUACUUAUUUCUUUGUAUUGAUGGAUCUUCGUGACUAAUUAUAAUUUGACGAAUUAUAGUAGUUAGUAAUUGUGUUAUGUUAAGUCCUUAGUUUUAAUUAUUGAUAAAUUCAUAGUAUGGAACCUGUUCCUUGAGGUUUGGUGUUGACAAAAACUUCUACGUAUUAGGGAACAAGUUGAGUUCACCUGUCGUUGUCACAGUCAACAGUCCAGCUGACGCAUAGUACAAAAGUUGGUGAAAAACUUUGCCACCUUUUUGACUCAACUAAUGAGAUUUUUCUUAGAUUUUCUUGUUUCAUAAUAUAUAUUGCUCAUCUUUCUCAACAAGAAAACCAACACUUUCAUAUACUCACAAUUAAAUAUCUUUUCAAAGUGUUGCAGUGCUGCAUCAAAGACUGGAACUGGAACAAGGAACCUGUUGUUUAUCG
rnacentral:lncRNA from 1 species